rnacentral:rRNA from 1 species
UACGUAGGGUCCAAGCGUUACCCGGAAUCACUGGGCGUAAAGCGCGCGUAGGCGGAUGUUUAAGUGCAAUGCGAAAUCCUGUGGCUCAACCAUAUGGACUGUAUUGCAUACUGGAUAUCUGGAGGAAUGCAGAGGCAAGUGGAAUUACCGGUGUAGCAGUGAAAUGCGUAGAGAUCGGUAGGAACACCAAUGGCGAAGGCAGCUUGCUGGGCAUUUUCUGACGCUAAGGCACGAAAGCGUGGGGAGCGAACAGG